GUGGAUUCGAUCCCGACUCAAAAAUCGUGUAAAAGCUGUUGCGACCAUAUCUUGCUACUCUUCAGUAGUGUGAAGCAGGAAGCGAUCACUUUUUGGCAUUGUUGCUUGGGAGCUAACGGUUUUAGCUAUCUAUUUAGUUAGUUUUGUGUGUUGUUCUUCUUUCCUUCUUUGUUACUAAUUUGUGUGUGUGAAUACUUCAGGUAUCAAAUGGCUUUAAAUGCUAAUGACCCUCUUGGAAACGUGCUUGCGGUGGAGGAGGUUGAUGAUAUUAGAGACGAGGAGGUGCCUCUUG
rnacentral:lncRNA from 1 species